UGGGGAAUAUUGCACAAUGGGCGCAAGCCUGAUGUAGCCAUGCCGCGUGUAUGAAGAAGGCCUUCGGGUUGUAAAGUACUUUCAGCGAGGAGGAAGGCGUUGUGGUUAAUAACCGCAGCGAUUGACGUUACUCGCAGAAGAAGCACCGGCUAACUCCGUGCCAGCAGCCGCGGUAAUACGGAGGGUGCAAGCGUUAAUCGGAAUUACUGGGCGUAAAGCGCACGCAGGCGGUCUGUCAAGUCGGAUGUGAAAUCCCCGGGCUCAACCUGGGAACUGCAUCCGAAACUGGCAGGCUAGAGUCUUGUAGAGGGGGGUAGAAUUCCAGGUGUAGCGGUGAAAUGCGUAGAGAUCUGGAGGAAUACCGGUGGCGAAGGCGGCCCCCUGGACGAAGACUGACGCUCAGGUGCGAAAGCGUGGGGAGCAAACA
rnacentral:rRNA from 1 species